AGACACAGCCAGCUGAGCAGGGAGCAGAGAUGAUUUGUUGGAAGCUGAGCUGAAAGGAGCUUAGCAGGGGAGGAAUCGCUACUUGUUCUGAGAUAGGCUAAUUAUAUUCCAUGUCCUCGGAAGCCAAACCUUUUCUACUCCAUUUGUAUAAUAGAGAUCCUACAGCUCUACAAAAGUACCAGGGUUCCCUCCCAUCUCCACUGUGCAUAGCAGCCUGUUCCACUGCCAGUCUCCACCCCAGAUGGAUCUGGAUGUCAGUCCUGCAUUCCCUGGAGAGCUGCUGAAGCACUUUGGAUUCCUCAGAGAUGGAAACUCUUCUAGAAACGCCGGGAACUGCCACUGUGCACUGGCUGGGAUAGGACCAAAGGGACCCUUCAGCUGCCCUGAACCUGCUGGAAAGAUCUUAACUGGUGUCUACCAGGUGCCAAUGGCUCAGUCGGGGACUGGAUCCAAGCGAGGAGUCCCUGGGGCUGAGUUUGAGGAGCCCUCUUAGGAACUGAAGUAUUUCUGCAACCCAAAAGUCUCUGACCUGCUUCCAGAAGGGAUACAGGAGGAAGUCCAGGGAGCAGGACAGACCCCUUGUGAGGAGUGGGGGCUGCUGGCCAAUUUGGGCUGAAGAAAAGAUGAG
rnacentral:lncRNA from 1 species